UUGAGUGGGAUCAUAGGUUCAUGACCCGGUAAAAAAGUUCUCCACCCUAUAUAUGAACUUACAUACAACGCACGCAUGGAGGACAAGCGACAAGUUCUGUCCAACCCAUUACAUCCAAGCUUGUGCAAACUAGGCAGUAGGCGAUACAGAUCGGGAGAAAGGUUACCGGGGCCAUAAAUUGGAGACCUUGUUUCACUUGGUCCACCAAUGAAGAAAAUCCCUCCUCCUGUUGAUCUUCUUCUGCAGCUGCAAAAUUCCAUAGAGUAACGCCUCGGCUGUGGGCGGGCAUCCAGGCA
rnacentral:misc_RNA from 1 species